rnacentral:rRNA from 1 species
UACGGAGGGUGCAAGCGUUGCUCGGAAUCACUGGGCGUAAAGCGCACGCAGGCGGCGGCUUAAGUCGGAUGUGAAAGCCCGGGGCUCAACCCCGGAACUGCAUUCGAAACUGGGUCGCUUGAAUACGGGAGAGGGAAGCGGAAUUCCUGGUGUAGAGGUGAAAUUCGUAGAUAUCAGGAGGAACACCAGUGGCGAAAGCGGCUUCCUGGCCCGAUAUUGACGCUGAUGUGCGAAAGCGUGGGGAGCAAACAGG